GACGAACGCUGGCGGCGUGCUUAACACAUGCAAGUCGAGCGGCGCGGCGAACGGGUGAGUAACGCGUGAGUAACUGCCCCCCUCUCUGGGAUAACAGUUGGAAACGGACGCUAAUACCGGAUAGUGGGGGAUGACUCGCGUCCUAUCAGCUUGUUGGUGGGGUAUUGGCCUACCAAGGCGAAGACGGGUAGCCGGCCUGAGAGGGCGACCGGCCCCAUUGGGCUGAGAUACGGUCCAAACUCCUACGGGAGGCAGCAGUGGGGAAUAUUGCACAAUGGGGGAAACCCUGAUGCAGGAACGCCGCGUGCGGGAUGACGGCCUUCGAGUAGUAAACCGCUUUCAGCCAUGACGCGGUAGUGGCAGAAGAAGCACCGGCUAACUACGUGCCAGCCGCCGCAGUAAUAC
rnacentral:rRNA from 1 species